rnacentral:lncRNA from 1 species
CCUCACCCUAAAUUUGCCAUAUAAUUUUUAAAAAAAAAAUUUGUAGUUAUAGAUGGACAGAAUGCAUUUAUUUUAUUUGUUUAUUUUUAUAUGGUACCAAGGAUCAAACCCAAUGCCUCACACGUUAGGCAGGCACUCUGCCACUACAGUCCUAGUCGCUGCCAUAUUAUAAUUUAAUGAUCAGAAAUUGUCCUUUAUUGCAAUGGUUUUGAAACUUUGCUUUCCAUUUUGGAGUCAACAGGGGAGCAGCACCCAUACCAAUUAACUUCAAAUGUGUC